rnacentral:rRNA from 1 species
AUUGAACGCUGGCGGCAGGCCUAACACAUGCAAGUCGAGCGGAUGAGUGGAGCUUGCUCCAUGAUUCAGCGGCGGACGGGUGAGUAAUGCCUAGGAAUCUGCCUGGUAGUGGGGGACAACGUUUCGAAAGGAACACUAAUACCGCAUACGUCCUACGGGAGAAAGCAGGGGACCUUCGGGCCUUGCGCUAUCAGAUGAGCCUAGGUCGGAUUAGCUAGUUGGUGAGGUAAAGGCUCACCAAGGCGACGAUCCGUAACUGGUCUGAGAGGAUGAUCAGUCACACUGGAACUGAGACACGGUCCAGACUCCUACGGGAGGCAGCAGUGGGGAAUAUUGGACAAUGGGCGAAAGCCUGAUCCAGCCAUGCUGCGUGUGUGAAGAAGGUCUUCGGAUUGUAAAGCACUUUAAGUUGGGAGGAAGGGCAGUAAGUUAAUACCUUGCUGUUUUGACGUUACCGACAGAAUAAGCACCGGCUAACUUCGUGCCAGCAGCCGCCGUAAAAC